AGCGAACGCUGGCGGCAGGCCUAACACAUGCAAGUCGAACGGAUCCUUCGGGAUUAGUGGCGGACGGGUGAGUAACACGUGGGAACGUGCCCUUUGGUUCGGAACAACUCAGGGAAACUUGAGCUAAUACCGGAUGUGCCCUUCGGGGGAAAGAUUUAUCGCCAUUGGAGCGGCCCGCGUCUGAUUAGCUAGUUGGUGAGGUAACGGCCCACCAAGGCGACAAUCAGUAGCUGGUCUGAGAGGAUGAUCAGCCACACUGGGACUGAGACACGGCCCAGACUCCUACGGGAGGCAGCAGUGGGGAAUCUUGCGCAAUGGGCGAAAGCCUGACGCAGCCAUGCCGCGUGAAUGAUGAAGGUCUUAGGAUUGUAAAAUUCUUUCAGCGGGGACGAUAAUGACGGUACCCGCAGAAGAAGCGCCGGCUAACUUCGUG
rnacentral:rRNA from 1 species